rnacentral:misc_RNA from 1 species
GAUGAAGAACGCAGCGAAAUGCGAUAAGUAAUGUGAAUUGCAGAAUUCAGUGAAUCAUCGAAUCUUUGAACGCACAUUGCGCCCGCUAGUAUUCUGGCGGGCAUGCCUGUUCGAGCGUCAUUUCAACCAUCAAGCCCUGCUUGUGUUGGGGUCCUGCGGCUGCCCGCAGGCCCUGAAAACCAGUGGCGGGCUCGCUAGUCACACCGAGCGCAGUAGCACAUCUCGCUCAGGGCGUGCGGCGGGUUCUUGCCGUAAAACACCCCCUUUUUACCAAGGUUGACCUCAGAUCAGGUAGGAAUACCCGCUGAACUUAAGCAUAUCAAUAAGCGGAGGA